rnacentral:tRNA from 1 species
GCCUCAUUAGCUCAGUGGUUAGAGCAGUGGUCUUGUAAACCAGUGGUCCAGAGUUCAAUUCUCUGAUGGGGAA